GCCACCAGGGAAGUCCUUCCAUUGAAGACAAGUUUGGUCAAGAGAACAGAAUGCUCUGUAUUUCAAAGUGGGUGCAUUUUUCCUCUUCCUAUAAGAAGCAGCACAGGAUGUUUUACUUUCUCAUUAUUCUCUCAGAGAACCUGAUUGGGCUUCUGGAGUAAAAGUUAUAAAAAUGUGAGGACCCUCCUAACACCGAAACCUCCUCCACACCCUGCCCCCCACCCUGUGUUUAUCUUACAAGCCUGUCCAGUAAUUUGGCAAACACCGCUGGAGUGAUCAUACCAGGACUGGCUGCCUCAGUGGACUCCUACUCCAGAGCUUCCGUUAUAAAUUCUUAUGGAAUGAUUACAAUCUCCUUGUAAGGAAAAAAAAGGGGAAAUGGAAACCUCUAUUAAAGAGAGUUGGGAAACCAGAACGGGAAGUUCUUAUGCCCCGUGACAACAGCAGAACCGUAUACAGGAAGAAGACCACUCUCUCCAUUCCUGGCAAGGACUCUUUGUGGCAAGAACUCAGCCAAGGAAAAACCAGGGACUCUUUGUUAACGCUAGUCCUCUCAACUUCCUUUUUCUCUCUAUAAAAGCAUUCUCUUUCUCUUGCCCUGCGCACCAUGGUGGCAGAUCCCGAAUUGAGAUUCUCUGCUGAUCCUGAAUAAACCCAUCUUUGCUGGAGAAAUAUCCCAUAGUCUGUUUCGGGUCAACACCCUUGUGAAGUACUGAAGUACGUGUGUUUCUACCCACCUGGGAAGGGAAAGCCCAGAGGAGAUCAGCAAGCAGAGGGAGCUGAUAUUUGCUACAGACUUAAGAGGACCUGGUCAACACAACCUCUUGGCUGCUUAAGCAGUCACAGAAUAAAGUUACGAUAGUCCUGAAGUUUAAAAAAAUAAUAAUAUAUGCUCUUCUGCAACCUGAACAAGAAAAACACCAUCCAAAGUGAAACCUAAAACUAAAACAAUCAUAAGCACUAAUUCUGUAAACAUAAAGAAAAGUUUUCCUCAAUUCACGACUAAAAUUUGCCUUCUAAUUCCGUAUCAAAAUUUCUAAGCUUUUUUUUCUAUUUUAUAUUAUUUUCCCUUCUCUCUCCCCCUAUCACCUUCUUAUUCUCCCUCUCAUUCUUUAUGCUCACCCUCUACGACUUGUGUGGUUUGCAGUCUUUAAGAUGGUCCACAGUAAUCUGUGCCUCAUAUAUGCCCUUGGGUAAGUAAGCCCCUCCCAACAAGUGUACUGACUGGGUGUUUUUUUUUUUUUUUUCUACAUUUCUUUUUAAUUAGAGGAUAAUUGCUUUGCAAUACUGUGAUGGUUUUUGCAUAUAUCAACAUGAAUUGACCAUAGGUAUACAUGUGUCCCCUGCCUCGUGAAUCCCCUUCCCAUCUCCUACUCCGUCCCACCCCCCUAGCUUGUCACAGAGCACCAGCUUUGAGUUCCCUGCAUCGUAC
rnacentral:lncRNA from 1 species